GACGAACGCUGGCGGCGUGCCUAAUACAUGCAAGUAGAACGCUGAAGGAGGAGCUUGCUUCUCUGGAUGAGUUGCGAACGGGUGAGUAACGCGUAGGUAACCUGCCUGGUAGCGGGGGAUAACUAUUGGAAACGAUAGCUAAUACCGCAUAAGAGUAGAUGUUGCAUGACAUUUGCUUAAAAGGUGCAAUUGCAUCACUACCAGAUGGACCUGCAUUGUAUUAGCUAGUUGGUGGGGUAACGGCUCACCAAGGCGACGAUACAUAGCCGACCUGAGAGGGUGAUCGGCCACACUGGGACUGAGACACGGCCCAGACUCCUACGGGAGGCAGCAGUAGGGAAUCUUCGGCAAUGGACGGAAGUCUGACCGAGCAACGCCGCGUGAGUGAAGAAGGUUUUCGGAUCGUAAAGCUCUGUUGUAAGAGAAGAACGAGUGUGAGAGUGGAAAGUUCACACUGUGACGGUAUCUUACCAGAAAGGGACGGCUAACUACGUG
rnacentral:rRNA from 1 species